rnacentral:lncRNA from 1 species
UAUUUCUUUGGCUUGGCUUCUUGACAUAACUUUCUGAGUGACAACUGCGGUGGGGCACUGGAAGAUUUUGUGAAUAAUUACGGUGCUGUAUGACUCUAUUGAAGGAAAUGCAUGAGAUCCUCGUGUGCAAAAGAUGGUGUGUCAUCUGUGGAAACUGUCAGUCCAGUUAUUUCAGCUAGUCACCCAUCAAAUCAGAUCACUGCCUGGUCAAUUACUACACUAUUGGUAGUAAAGCCUGAAAUUCCAAAUGGCUAGUGUCAAGGACAGUGAUUCUAACAGUUGUCAUUUUCAGGAAACGGGCAGUUGGUUUAGCCAGAAAACAUGAAUUGUUUAAUUACAUGCCAUGUUUCUAUUUUUGGUGUCAAAUCAAGUGUCUAGAAGAGAAGUCACCCCUUCCCCUUCAUAGGUACUCAUUUUAAAAAUGUAUUGGAGUAUAGUUGCUUUAUGAUGAUGUGUUAGUUUCUACUGUACAGUAAAGUGAUUCAGCUAUACUAUACAGGUAUUUCAUUCUUCAAAGAGAGAAAAAAGUCACCCAGGUAAUUUGCAGGCUUAAAAUUCCUUCUUCCACAAUUCAUAGCGAUAAAGAGAUUUAUCUGAGAUUAUAUUUCUCAGGCCCACCGUUUUUCAAUAAAUUCAGCCUCUUCCCCGGUGUGUGCUCUGGAGAGGCUGGCUUUCCUUGAGAUGCUAACGAUUACCACCGCUGAGGAAAGGAGUCUCAGGGUAGUGAUACUGUAGAUGAGGCUAUUAUGCCCAGCAGAAAAUCGAUUAGAAGCCUCAUCCCAACUCUUGCCUUCUCAGACCCAGACAAUUGAGGACCGAGGCGUGGACACUAUGCUGCGUCUCUCACUGACCGCCAUGACCUAUCCAGAGCUGACUCGAUUAUUCUGAAAGACAUCCCCAGCUGUGUCUUUGACAUCAACUCAGGAUGGAAUCACACUCUUCCACUGGCUCCAUAAAGAUGUCCCUCUUGUUGCAGGCAGAUUUCUGCGGCGGGAUCUGGAAGAGUGGUGCCUGACGUGCUAAACCCACCUUUCCACCAGAUGGCAGGUAUGUCAUAGCUAUUGAAACUCUCAGGUGAUGUUUUCCAAUAAAGAAAGACCAGGUAAAUACA